rnacentral:rRNA from 1 species
AUGGGGAGCAAUCCCUGAGUAAAGUGGCGACCGGGUGAGUAACACGUGACUAACCUACCCUCGAGUGUGGAAUAACAUCGGGAAACCGAUGCUAAUACCGCAUAACAUCCUUGGAUUGAAAGAACUGAAGAUCAAAGGAGCAAUCCGCUUGAGGAGGGGGUCGCGGCUGAUUAGCUAGUUGGCGGGGUAACGGCCCACCAAGGCGAAGAUCGGUAGCCGGCCUGAGAGGGCGCACGGCCACACUGGAACUGAAACACGGUCCAGACUCCUACGGGAGGCAGCAGUGGGGAAUUUUGCGCAAUGGGGGAAACCCUGACGCAGCAACGCCGCGUGGAGGAUGAAGCCCCUUGGG